rnacentral:rRNA from 1 species
UACGGGGGGGGCAAGCGUUGUUCGGAAUUACUGGGCGUAAAGGGCUCGUAGGCGGCCAACUAAGUCGGAUGUGAAAUCCCCAAGCUUAACUUGGGAACUGCAUCCGAUACUGGAUGGCUUGAAUCCGGGAGAGGGAUGCAGAAUUCCAGGUGUAGCGGUGAAAUGCGUAGAUAUCUGGAGGAAUACCGGUGGCGCAAGCGGAUUGCUGGGCCAUAACUGACACUGAGGAACGAAAGCUAGGGGAGCGAAUGGG